GCUCCGGCCGGCCCGAGCUCCGCUCCCACAGAGCCCCGGGCACAGAGGAGCGUGUCAGUGCCAGCCUGCCGCGAUGUUUGUAAUGUCAAAACCCAGUAAUUCACCUUAAGGCAAUCCUUGCAUGCCAGCGAUCCCAGGCAUGGUGAAAGAGUCCUGCACACUGCAUCACUGGUGACUUUCUUGCUCCUGUUGGACUUUCCAAACACUGGAAGAGGCUAGGAGAUACUGGGCAGCAUUUCCCUCUCUGAUAAGUUGCCACGAGCUUGUGGGAAGACCUGAAUGCAGUGUCAGAGAAGGACUGAUGUGAAGUGGACUAGCUCCAGUCACAGCUGCAAGAGCCAAAUGCAAAUGUUUAAACACUCCUUCCCAGAGGCUGAAGGUAUGACAUUCUUUGUCAUCCUUCCAAUGUCUCUAAAGAAUAGGAUUAAAUGAUUUUACUUUUACAAGCCUGCAGGGAUCCAACUUAAAAUGACAAGAAUUUAAAGAGAGACUUACCUGAGACCUUACCCUACCCUGCUCUGAGAGCAUCCCUGUGGUUGAAUUGCUUCUGUAAAAGGUGAAGGAAAGAUUUUGGUUGAUGGCAACGCUGUCAGAAUUUCACCUGUUAACUGCAGACAGACUGGAGCUUUGCACUCACACAGCUUGCAGGAUCGAAUCCCCGAUGUGACAGGAAGCAAAAUAUUUGCCAUGUGUUUCAUUUCAGUUUUAAGCACUUCAGGUUUUGAAUCCUCUUGGUUAAGUAAUUGAUGUUUGAAUGCCCUGUCUCCUGCUUGGUAUUUUAAAAUAAACCUUGCUACAGCACAGAUUAUGAAUCAAAACAGCUGCUGAAGCUGAAAGUGUACUUAAGCAGCAAGAUGGCUCUUUGUGAAUCAUAGUAACUAGUCUUACAUAUAUUACUUCAGCAUCUAGGGAGCUAAAUUUCAUGUACUUUGGUUUAAAAAAAAUCAUUAUAUAGAUCUGGUGUUUACAGAUUUUUUGAUGUCUUCCCGUCAC